rnacentral:rRNA from 2 species
GCAUAUCAAUAAGCGGAGGAAAAGAAACCAACAGGGAUUGCCCUAGUAACGGCGAGUGAAGCGGCAACAGCUCAAAUUUGAAAUCUGGCGCAAGCCCGAGUUGUAAUUUGUAGAGGAUGUUUCUGGCGACGCGCCUUCCGAGUUCCCUGGAACGGGACGCCAUAGAGGGUGAGAGCCCCGUACGGUUGGAUGCCUAGCCUCUGUGAAACUCCUUCGACGAGUCGAGUAGUUUGGGAAUGCUGCUCUAAAUGGGAGGUAUACGUCUUCUAAAGCUAAAUACCGGCCAGAGACCGAUAGCGCACAAGUAGAGUGAUCGAAAGAUGAAAAGCACUUUGAAAAGAGGGUUAAAAAGUACGUGAAAUUGUUGAAAGGGAAGCGUUCAUGACCAGACUUGGGCAGGUUGAUCAUCCGUGGUUCUCCGCGGUGCACUCUGCCUGCCCAGGCCAGCAUCAGUUCGCCCCGGGGGAUAAAGGCUUUGGGAAUGUGGCUCCCUCGGGAGUGUUAUAGCCCACUGCGUAAUACCCUGGGGUGGACUGAGGUUCGCGCUCUGCAAGGAUGCUGGCGUAAUGGUCAUCAACGACCCGUCUUGAAACACGGACC